UCUAGUUACUAGUGCCUUACUUAAAGACGUCAACACCGGUAAUGUUGCAUAUCGGGCGAAUGCUAUUCGUUUGCUUUGUCAUAUUACAAAUGACGCAUCCUUAAACAAAGUUGUGAAAUUCCUCUAUGAGGAUCUUUGUGAUGACAAUCCUACUCUUCAAAUUGCUUCCCUUGUGUGUUCAAUCAAUCUGGUAAAGAGAGAUCCAAGGAUGGCCAUCACACUCAAUCAAGUAUACCCUGAGACCUCUUUUUUCGAUAAAGGAAAACACGUUCAGUUCCAUGCCAUAUAUCUAGAAUUUGUGAUGGGAGAAGUACGUCAUGCGGGAGAAGUACGUCAUACGGGAGAAGUAAAUCCUACGGCAG